rnacentral:rRNA from 1 species
UACGAAGGGGGGCUAGCGUUGUUCGGAAUUACUGGGCGUAAAGCGCACGUAGGCGGAUAUUUAAGUCAGGGGUGAAAUCCCGGGGCUCAACCCCGGAACGGCCUUUGAUACUGGAUGUCUUGAGUCCGGAAGAGGUGAGUGGAAUUGCGAGUGUAGAGGUGAAAUUCGUAGAUAUUCGCAGGAACACCAGUGGCGAAGGCGGCUCACUGGUCCGGAACUGACGCUGAGGUGCGAAAGCGUGGGGAGCAAACAGG